GCUCGCCUGCAGUGGUCAAGGCCCUUGUAGCUAUAACCAAUAUCGACCCGCAUCACACCGUUCAGACCAUUCCCAGAUCUGGCGUUAUCCUUCGCCAGGUGCCUGGCGAAGGAAUCGGACCCUCGCAAGAAAGCGCUGCUGGCGGACAUUAUGCUCCACCGAAACGGAAACCUCUGCGCCGGCUGCGAAAGCUGGUUAUUGACGCUCCUAAGGAGCGUCCCGAUGCCGGAUUGAGUGGCACGACGGUCGCAAUCGCUGGAGGACGGCCUCGAGAGGAG
rnacentral:lncRNA from 1 species